rnacentral:rRNA from 1 species
AGUGAACGCUGGCGGUAGGCCUAACACAUGCAAGUCGAACGGCAGCACAGGAGAGCUUGCUCUCUGGGUGGCGAGUGGCGGACGGGUGAGGAAUACAUCGGAAUCUACUUUCUCGUGGGGGAUAACGUAGGGAAACUUACGCUAAUACCGCAUACGACCUACGGGUGAAAGCAGGGGACCUUCGGGCCUUGCGCGAUGGAAUGAGCCGAUGUCGGAUUAGCUAGGUGGCGGGGUAAAGGCCCACCAAGGCGACGAUCCGUAGCUGGUCUGAGAGGAUGAUCAGCCACACUGGAACUGAGACACGGUCCAGACUCCUACGGGAGGCAGCAGUGGGGAAUAUUGGACAAUGGGCGCAAGCCUGAUCCAGCCAUACCGCGUGGGUGAAGAAGGCCUUCGGGUUGUAAAGCCCUUUUGUUGGGAAAGAAAUCCAGCUGGCUAAUACCCGGUUGGGAUGACGGUACCCAAAGAAUAAGCACCGGCUAACUUCGUGCCAGCAGCCGCAGUAA